rnacentral:tmRNA from 2 species
GGGGAUGACUGGCUUAGACAAAGGGAUUGUUCUUUGAGAUGCGCAAGCCGACCUCCAAACAAGUCGUAAAAAGGUUUGGAAACCAAAUACGUGCAAACAAAACUGCACGGGCUGUUGUAUCACCGAUACAAUUCGCUCCCGCAUUUGCGUAACACAUAGUUACCCAAGCGGCGUCCUAACAGAAGUUUGCUGAGUACUCUGCGGGCUAAAACAUUUUGCUUGCAAAAUGUUCGCCCGACAUUGACCCUUGGUCAAUGUUUAGGGCGUAAUAUCACUCGACUAUGAGGAAGUAUGGUUACCAUCACCGUACCACUCGAGACUAAGUAUGGUAGGAAGAUUAGAUUUUGUUUGUUUCGCCCCUAAACAUAUUUUCUUUGAAAAUAUGUCGGGCAAUCCGCAAGGAUUUUGCCUACUCUUCCGAGAUCCGCCAGCCUGGCGGAAAAAACAAUCUACGCUUGUAGAACAUUUCAUAGAAUUCUUUUUGGACUCGGGUUCGAUACCCGACAUCUCCACCA